ensembl:lncRNA ATPase phospholipid transporting 9B (putative)
ACGUUAGUAACCUAUAUAGUUCUCCAGAUCAUAGAAUGGUUAAGGUUGGAAGGGACCUCUGGAGAUCAUCUAAUCCAGCCCCCAUGCUCAAACAGUUUUGGUGUCUUUUUACAACUUAAAGGUUCGUGUUUUAUUCGAACUGACCAGCUCGAUGGAGAAACAGACUGGAAACUAAAGGUUGCUGUCAGCUGUACACAAAGGUUGCCAGCUUUGGGGGAUCUUUUUUCAAUCAAUGCUUACGUUUAUGCUCAGAAGCCACAGCUGGAUAUUCACAGUUUUGAGGGUACCUUCACACGGGAAGACAGUGAUCCAGCAGUUCAUGAAAGCCUUAGCAUAGAAAAUACGUUAUGGGCAAGCACUGUUGUGGCUUCAGGAACUGUAAUUGGUGUUGUCAUUUACACAGGGAAGGAGACUCGAAGUGUAAUGAACACAUCCAAUCCAAAAAACAAGGUUGGCUUGCUGGAUCUGGAACUGAAUCAACUGACCAAAGCCCUAUUUUUGGCUUUAGUUGCACUAUCAAUUGUUAUGGUAACCUUGCAAGGAUUUGUAGGCCCCUGGUAUCGCAACCUUUUCCGGUUCCUCCUCCUGUUUUCCUAUAUCAUCCCUAUCAGUUUACGUGUGAACUUGGACAUGGGUAAGGCAGCCUAUGGGUGGAUGAUUAUGAAAGAUGACAAUAUUCCUGGAACAGUUGUUCGAACUAGCACCAUACCAGAAGAGUUGGGACGAUUAGUUUAUUUACUAACGGAUAAAACAGGAACACUUACACAGAAUGAGAUGAUAUUUAAGCGCCUCCACCUAGGUACUGUGUCCUAUGGAACAGACACAAUGGAUGAAAUUCAGAGUCAUAUUAUAAACUCUUAUUCACAGUCUUCUGCGCCUAAAGUCCGCAAGAGUGUCAGUAGUCGAAUACAUGAAGCUGUGAAGGCUAUUGCAUUGUGCCACAAUGUGACCCCAGUGUACGAAUCUCGUGCGGGUGUGUCUGGAGAAACAGAAUAUGCAGAAGUGGAUCAAGAUUUCAGCGAUGAAAAUAGAACUUACCAGGCUUCCAGCCCUGAUGAGGUAGCUCUGGUACAAUGGACAGAGAGUGUUGGUCUUACGCUGGUUAACAGAGAUUUGACCUCAAUGCAACUGAAGACCCCUGGUGGACACAUUCUGACAUACUAUAUUCUGCAAAUUUUCCCCUUCACUUCUGAGAGCAAGCGCAUGGGGAUCAUAGUUAGGGAUGAAUCUUCGGGAGAAAUUACAUUUUACAUGAAAGGUGCAGAUGUUGCAAUGUCCACUAUUGUACAGUACAAUGAUUGGUUAGAAGAAGAGUGUGGUAAUAUGGCACGAGAAGGACUGCGUACUCUGGUUGUUGCCAAAAAAUCACUGACUGAAGAACAGUAUCAAGAUUUUGAGAGUCGAUACAACCAAGCAAAGUUAAGUAUACAUGACAGAACCCUGAAGGUUGCUGCUGUUGUGGAGAGUUUGGAGCGAGAAAUGGAGUUGCUGUGUCUCACUGGAGUAGAAGAUCAACUGCAAGCAGAUGUUAGACCAACUCUAGAGAUGUUAAGAAAUGCUGGAAUAAAGAUAUGGAUGUUAACAGGAGAUAAACUGGAGACAGCAACUUGCAUUGCGAAAAGUUCUCACUUAGUAUCUAGGACUCAAGAUAUUCAUAUUUUCAGACCUGUUACCACUCGAGGAGAGGCUCACUUAGAACUAAAUGCCUUUAGAAGGAAGCAUGAUUGUGCCUUGGUAAUAUCUGGGGACUCACUUGAGGUUUGUCUGAAGUACUAUGAACAUGAAUUUGUUGAGUUGGCCUGUCAGUGCCCUGCUGUAGUGUGCUGCCGCUGUUCUCCCACCCAAAAAGCCCAUAUCGUGAAACUGCUACAACACCACACUGGAAAGCGCACGUGUGCAAUAGGUGAUGGAGGAAACGAUGUCAGCAUGAUCCAAGCAGCCGACUGUGGAAUUGGAAUUGAAGGCAAGGAGGGAAAACAAGCAUCCCUAGCAGCUGACUUUUCUAUCACACAAUUCAAACACAUAGGUAGGCUGCUGAUGGUACAUGGUCGAAACAGUUACAAAAGAUCGGCAGCACUUGGUCAAUUUGUCAUGCACCGAGGCCUUAUUAUUUCAACUAUGCAGGCUGUAUUUUCAUCAGUCUUCUAUUUUGCAUCUGUUCCCUUAUACCAAGGAUUCCUAAUGGUAGGGUAUGCAACUAUAUAUACUAUGUUUCCAGUCUUCUCUCUAGUAUUGGAUCAGGAUGUGAAACCAGAAAUGGCAUUGCUAUAUCCAGAACUUUAUAAGGAUCUCACAAAGGGAAGAUCUUUGUCGUUUAAGACCUUCCUCAUCUGGGUUUUAAUCAGUAUUUACCAAGGUGGUAUUCUGAUGUAUGGAGCCCUGCUGCUUUUUGAAUCCGAGUUUGUACACGUUGUUGCCAUUUCCUUCACUGCCCUAAUCUUGACGGAGCUCUUGAUGGUUGCGCUGACCAUACGAACAUGGCACUGGUUAAUGGUGGUGGCUGAAUUCCUCAGUCUUGGCUGCUAUGUGGCCUCUCUUGCAUUUCUAAAUGAAUACUUUGAUGUUGCCUUUAUCACAACUGUGACCUUCCUGUGGAAAGUGUCAGCAAUCACUGUUGUAAGCUGUCUUCCACUUUACAUUCUCAAGUACUUGAAACGCAAAUUUUCUCCUCCGAGUUACUCCAAGCUUACCUCGUAAAAGUGAACAUAUUCCUAUGGUAUUUCACACAUGCCAGUCUGCAUAUUGCACAUUCACUGUGCUUUUGUGUCUAUAGAUUUGUGAUGGACUAACAAAAUAAAAGUCAAAAGUAAUAGAGUGAGUGGAGCA